GGAUGAAAAAAAUUUGUAUGAGAGUCCGCACAAGAAAGCAUUAGAAGAUCCCUAUAUUUUUGAAAGUCUGGAGGAGCUUCAGAGAGUGAGAACCUCUUCUGAAUUAUAGUAAAAAGUUUAAAAAACCUUUUAUAUUUUAUCCUAGUGGGUAGAAUUUGAAACUUUUAAGCUUGUUGAUAUUCAUCAAAACCAAUCAGCAAGUCUUUGUCAAGGAAAUCUGUGCCGAUUACCUUUGUCCAGGUAAUACAGUCAGGGAAAAACUAUAUCCUAAUUGAUUUUUUUGUAAUAAGAUCAGUCCUGAAUACCUUCGCAUCUACUGCACGAAAAUAUUCAGAAUGAGGAACCCAGACUUCUUCAGGAAGAACUGUAGGGUUCAUCAUGCUUUUAUGAGGGCCAGUAUUAAUGAAUCCAAUGACAGCAAUAGGUCGCUCAUAUUUUGAUGAAAGAACAUGAAUCUGGACUAAAGGAAUUGGAAUAGCUGGCUGAGCUGAAGAGCAUAAAGAAGCAGUAUGAAUAUUUAGAAAUUCUAUAUCAGAGACAUUCUUAUCAGUAUCAUUGGAUGAUGUGGAUUUUGGUUCGGCAAUUUCAAGAGCAAAGAUAGUCUCUUUGUCGGCUUUAUCUUGUUCUGAGAAUAAAGAUUCAAUGUCUCUGUCUUCCAGAUCUAAAUGAGUGCUCUGAUAGAUUUGUUGAAUCAUUUUUGCUGCUUUCUUCAGAUUUUGAGGACAUUUGUUAGAGAAUGGCUUGAUCAUUGAUUCGUCCCAACCAGAGUCUCUUCAAAUGCUCUGUGUACCCUAUGAAUAAGGUUUAAUUUGAGAUUAAUAGGGAGAAUCUUCUGUCACAACUCAACUAGCUUCAACUUUAGUAUCUAAGCCUUCACCUUCUGCUAGCUUAGUUAAUUUUACUUCUUCUCUUUCUUUAUCCCUUUCUUGUAGAAGAACUUUGUUCUCCAAAAUGAAUAAUCUUAUUGAUAUCUCUCACAUCCCUGAAGGUGCUCAAGUGAGAGAAUCUCUUCUACCCCUUUUAAGCCCUUAUAAUGUAUACAAAAGAUUUGGUUCCUUUACCAGAAAUAUCCGCUCUCUUACCUCCUCAAGAAGAUCGAUUACCAAAGAAUAUGUACAGACUUCUCGCCUUGACCAUUGUGCUCUUAGAUCCACUACUAUUGAACUGUAUGUCACUUUGGAGAUUCCUUCUCCUUUUAUCCCUCAGUGGAAAAGACAAUAGUACUCUCAUCUUCACUUUGGAGCAGCCAGAAUAGUCUUUACCCUACAUGGACGAAGAGAACUACCAGUUAUUGCCGGACUUUCUUUACUGAAUACCAAAUUCCUGAAGUAUGAACAUGCUGUGAUUGGUACUUGCAUCCACUAUUCAUGAUGGGAGUGCGGUACUUACCUUUUUCCCAAUUACAACAUGUCUCUGCAAGAUCCAAAUCUUCCCAUAGCACCAAAAGUUCAAGUUCAACUAGUUGGAGCUGAACAGACGAUAUCCUCUAUGGCAGUAACUCUGCACCACCAAAUCAUUUAUCGCCUCCAAGAUCAUGAUGUUAAUUUGUCCCAACUAAAAGUCUCUUCAAAUGCUCUAUAUAUCCUUUUAGAUACAGAGUCCACUCUCACAAUUGUUCAAAUUCUGCGGCAGUUAUCCAGAGAUGAGUUGGUAAAGCCGAUCCCACGGAAUGGCUGAUCUACAAUGAGAAAUUUCACAACAAUUUCCAUCCUGUACAGGCCAUAAAAUCGUCGUUCCAUAGACAAUUUGAGACGCUUUUUGAGAAUAGCAGAAUAUCAUCAAUAUAGAUCAAGUCAUCAUGUAGGAUGGGUUCAAAAAUUCGAAUCAUGGCCUUUUGAAAUAGGGACUGAGCCACCUUAAUCCUAAAUGGCAUAAC
rnacentral:misc_RNA from 1 species